rnacentral:rRNA from 1 species
AGAGUUUGAUCAUGGCUCAGAGCGAACGCUGGCGGCAGGCUUAACACAUGCAAGUCGAGCGGGCGUAGCAAUACGUCAGCGGCAGACGGGUGAGUAACGCGUGGGAACAUACCUUUGGUUCGGAACAACACAGGGAAACUUGUGCUAAUACCGGAUAAGCCCUUACGGGGAAAGAUUUAUCGCCGAAAGAUUGGCCCGCGUCUGAUUAGCUAGUUGGUGAGGUAAUGGGCUUCACCAAGGCGACGAUCAGUAGCUGGUCUGAGAGGAUGAUCAGCCACAUUGGGACUGAGACACGGCCCAAACUCCUACGGGAGGCAGCAGUGGGGAAUAUUGGACAAUGGGCGCAAGCCUGAUCCAGCCAUGCCGCGUGAGUGAUGAAGGCCCUAGGUUGUAAAGCUCUUUUGUGCGGGAAGAUAAUGACGGUACCGCAAGAAUAAGCCCGGCUAACUUCGUG